GACGAACGCUGGCGGCGUGCUUAACACAUGCAAGUGGAGCGACGAACCGGGCUUCGGCCCGGGGCAAAGCCGCGAACGGGUGAGUAACACGUGGGUAACCUGCCCCGUUGACCGGGACAA
rnacentral:rRNA from 1 species